rnacentral:rRNA from 1 species
AGAGUUUGAUCCUGGCUCAGGACGAACGCUGGCGGCGUGCCUAAUACAUGCAAGUCGAGCGAAUGACGAGGAGCUUGCUCCUCUGAUUUAGCGGCGGACGGGUGAGUAACACGUGGGCAACCUGCCCUGUAGACUGGGAUAACUUCGGGAAACCGGAGCUAAUACCGGAUAAUCCAUUUUACCUCAUGGUGAAAUGUUGA